GUACGGGGGGGCAAGCGGUUGUUCGGAAUUACUGGGCGUAAAGGGCGCGUAGGCGGCCUUCUAAGUCGGACGUGAAAUCCCUCGGCUUAACCGAGGAACUGCGUCCGAUACUGAAAGGCUUGAAUCCGGGAGAGGGAUGUGGAAUUCCAGGUGUAGCGGUGAAAUGCGUAGAUAUCGAGAGGAACACCUGCGGCGAAGGCGGGUUGCUGGGCUGAUGACUGACGCUGAGGAGCGAAAGCGUGGGGAGCGAACAGG
rnacentral:rRNA from 1 species